rnacentral:rRNA from 1 species
GGGCCCGCACAAGCGGUGGAGCAUGUGGUUUAAUUCGAUGCAACGCGAAGAACCUUACCAGGGCUUGACAUACUGCGAACCUUUUUGAAAGAAGAGGGUGCCUUCGGGAAUGCAGAUACAGGUGGUGCAUGGCUGUCGUCAGCUCGUGUCGUGAGAUGUUGGGUUAAGUCCCGCAACGAGCGCAACCCUUGUUUUAGUUACCAAUUCGUUGGGCUUUCUAGAAAACUGCCGGUGACAAACCGGAGGAAGGUGAGGAUGACGUCAAGUCAGCAUGCCCCUUAUGUCCUGGGCUACACACGUGCUACAAUGGUUAGGACAAAGAGUCGCGAGUUCGUGAGAACCAGCUAAUCUCGUAAAAGAUACCUCAGUUCGGAUUGCACUCUGCAACUCGAGUGCAUGAAGCUGGAAUU